rfam:Ricinus communis cultivar Hale ctg_1100012361426, whole genome shotgun sequence.
AAACCAUGAUGUGGACAGCUUCUUAGUAAAUCCUUGAACUGUUCCUAAUAAUCAUAUAAAGUUUCAUUCUUUUGCUAAAGAAACUCUGCUUUAUCAUUCCUUAACUU